CUGGAAGAGAGGGCAGCAGCCAUUGCUACAGCAUCUGACUUUAUAAAGGAGUACUGAUUAGUUCAGGGGAAAAAGAAUCAGGGGAAGGGACUGACUCGGGUCUGACCCCAGCCCGUUACUGACAGCUGUGUGACUUUGGGCACUUGAUUUAGCUGCUAGAAGCUUCCACUUCCUCAUCAGUAGAUUAAGCUGUGAAAGUACCUGCUUAUAAAUUGUAGGGAGGAUGAAAGGAGAUAAUUCAUAGAUAACCCACUUAGGUUUGGCGUCUGACUAUAGGCCAGAUCUGAGAAAACCAGGAUGCUAAAAGCUUUUCAAUUCAGCAAGAAUUAACUGAGUGCCAAUUUAGCAUUAAAUAGAAAUGAGAAUAUUCAACCCAGCCCUCAACAAGUCUGGAAUCCCACUGGGAAGAUCAGCACAUUCUUGAAGACAGGACCAAUGAGUACCUGGUUGUGUACUUUACUUCCUCAUAUCAU
rnacentral:lncRNA from 1 species